rnacentral:rRNA from 1 species
UACGUAGGGUGCAAGCGUUAAUCGGAAUUACUGGGCGUAAAGCGUGCGCAGGCGGUUUGCUAAGAGAGAUGUGAAAUCCCCGGGCUUAACCCGGGAACUGCGUCCGAUACUGGUGGGCUUGAAUCCGGGAGAGGGAUGUGGAAUUCCAGGUGUAGCGGUGAAAUGCGUAGAUAUCUGGAGGAACACCGGUGGCGAAGGCGGCAUCCUGGACCGGUAUUGACGCUGAGGCGCGAAAGCUAGGGGAGCAAACGGG